rnacentral:rRNA from 1 species
UACGAAGGACCCGAGCGUAUCCGGAUUUAUUGGGUUUAAAGGGUGCGUAGGCGUCCUGGAAAGUUACGGUUGAAAUCUCCUUGCUUAACAAGGAAACUGGCCGUAAAACUAUCAGGAUUGAGUACAUUUGAAGCGGGCGGAAUGUGUCAUGUAGCGGUGAAAUGCUUAGAUAUGACACAGAACACCAAUUGCGAAGGCAGCUCGCUAAACUGUAACUGACGCUGAGGACGAAAGCGUGGGGAUCAAACAGG